rnacentral:rRNA from 1 species
UACUGAGGUGGCAAGCGUUGUUCGGAAUUACUGGGCGUAAAGGGCGCGUAGGCGGCCUUGCAAGUCCUGUGUGAAAUCCCUCGGCUCAACUGAGGAAUUGCACGGGAAACUGCCGGGCUUGAGUUCGGGAGAGGGAAGCGGAAUUCCGGGUGUAGCGGUGAAAUGCGUAGAUAUCCGGAGGAACACCGGUGGCGAAAGCGGCUUCCUGGACCGACACUGACGCUGAGGCGCGAAAGUUAGGGGAGCAAACGGG